rnacentral:rRNA from 1 species
AGUGAACGCUGGCGGUAGGCCUAACACAUGCAAGUCGAACGGCAGCACAGUAAGAGCUUGCUCUUACGGGUGGCGCGUGGCGGACGGGUGAGGAAUACCUCGGAAUCUACUUUUUCGUGGGGGCUAACGUAGGGAAACUUACGCUAAUACCGCAUACGACCUACGGGUGAAAGCAGGGGAUCUUCGGACCUUGCGCGAUUGAAUGAGCCGAUGUCGGAUUCGCUAGUUGGCGGGGUAAAGGCCCACCAAGGCGACGAUCCGUAGCGGGUCUGCGAGGAUGAUCAGCCACACUGGAACUGAGACACGGUCCAGACUCCUACGGGAGGCAGCAGUGGGGAAUAUUGGACAAUGGGCGCAAGCCUGAUCCAGCCAUACCGCGGGGGUGAAGAAGGCCUUCGGGUGGUAAAGCCCUUUUGUUGGGAAAGAAAAGCAGCAGGUUAAUACCCCGCUGUUCUGACGGUACCCAAAGAAUAAGCACCGGCUAACUUCGUG